AUGAACGGUCUCUUUUGGAAUUGUAGAGGAGCAGGUAAAAGAGGGAGGACUACCUGCUUCUCUGACAUCAUUAGAGACCACUCCCUCGACUUUAUGGGCAUCCUAGAAACGAAGAAGGAUAAGUUUGUACCCAGAUACCUUAGGAAGAUCGACCCCUUUGAGAGGUUUAAUUGGAAUGGGAUCCCUUCCAUUGGUAAAUCUGGUGGUAUCCUAUGUGGAAUCAGAAAAGAAACCUUGGAAAUUGUGUCUUGGGCGGCAGGUAACUAUAUACUGCAGGCUACAAUUUUUGACACUAAAAUCAAAUGUGCUUGGACCCUUGUGGUAGUAUAUGGGGCAGCACAUGAUGAGAAGAGGGACGAGUUCCUUGAUGAACUAACCUCGUUUUGUGGCAACAUUAAAACCCCUUAUGUGAUUGGGGGUGACUUCAAUAUACUACGGAAUAGUAGUGACAAGAACAAGUCUCCCCGUCGAUCUCAGCAUAUGGAUAGGUUUAACAGUGUCAUUCAAUCACUGAACCUUGGAGAGAUUCAUAUGGGAGGAGGCAGAUUCACAUGGACCAAUAAGCAGAGACACCCCACGUUCGAAAAGCUCGAUAUUGUGCUCAUGAGCUUUGACUGGGAAGACCUUUUCCCACUAGUUGUUGUCCGUAAACUAGUGAGAGAUAUCUCAGGUCACAACCCUCUGUUGUUGACAACAAAUCCCUUGAAAAAUAGUCCUAUGCACAUGCGUGAGUUCAGAUUCGAGCUCAGCUGGUUGAAGAAUGAGGAAUUCUAUGCUAAAGCUAAGAUGAUCUGGGAGCAGCAUGUGCAAGCUGAGGACCCUAUUGACGUCCUAAACAUAAAACUAAAACGUAUCAAAAAAUACAUUAAAGGAUGCGGUUCCCACCUUUUCGGCCAUGCCAAAAAGAGGAAAAAAUGGUGUAAAAAGGAGCUGGAAGAGAUUGAAGAAGGAGGAGGCUGGCCCCCUGAAUCCUGA
rnacentral:rRNA from 1 species